UACGUAGGGUGCGAGCGUUGUCCGGAAUUAUUGGGCGUAAAGAGCUUGUAGGCGGUUUGUCGCGUCUGCUGUGAAAUCUCAAGGCUCAACCUUGAGCUUGCAGUGGGUACGGGCAGACUAGAGUGUGGUAGGGGGAGACUGGAAUUCCUGGUGUAGCGGUGAAAUGCGCAGAUAUCAGGAGGAACACCGGUGGCGAAGGCGGGGUCUCUGGGCCGGUACCGACGCUGAGGAGCGAAAAGCGUGGGGGAGCGAACAGG
rnacentral:rRNA from 1 species